CUGCAGAGUCCCAGACGCUUUGGACACGGUGCGGAGUUGGCCCGGGCUUUCCAACACAGUGAGCCGCUGUCAGGAUCCCUCCCCAGGGUCCAGCGGGCCUGGAGGAGGGAAUGACAGGUGGACGGCGGUGGGACUGACGGCCAGGUUCUCCCGCUGCAGUGGUCCCACUGGGAUUCUGGAGGACAAGAGCAGAUCCCUUGCAGGAGUCUCUCUUUUCACAUGACCGGCCAGAGGACCCCUGAACAUGGGCAUGUCCCCUGGGCGGAAUCCCACCCUGGUGCUCACUGGGAAGAGGACGGAGGGCGAGGGUCCCGUGUGGGAGGAACAGGGCAGCAGGCAGCCACGUGUCCACCCUCAGGGUGCAGCCUGGGUCCAGCAAGCCCUUCCCUCUUGCCCAUCUGCUCCGCGGAGCGGACCCAGCUGGGCUGUCCUUCCGCGAGUGGACAGAUGGUGGUGAAGUCCCCAUUGACCCGCCGAUGGCUUCCUCGGGUUCACGGAGAACAGGCUCCUGCUGUGAGGCUCCCAUCACACGGCUGACGGCAGCCUCCUCCACCAGCGCGUUUAUCUAAGAGGCAACCCAAGCUGGCUUCUCCCCGGAGCAGUACGUCCCCAUCUCAUCUCUCCCCACAGCUCAUUCGGGCUCUAGGAAUCUGAGGCAGCCGUUUCCCAGCCCUCCUGCCAAGGAGGACCCGCUGGUGGAUGAAGGCCGAGGCUCUCCUGCACAGCGCGGCACACAAGCCGGCCAUCUGGGGAGGCGGGGCGUCCGAUUCCUGCUGCCCGAGCUCGGCCAGAUGCCCCAGACGUGGGUGCUGUGCAGGAUGGUGCCCAUCUGUGUUUGUUUGGGAGGCGCGUGGCACCCGUCAUUAUCUGUGUGGCCUUGAGCAAACUCAUUAACUUCUCUGAACCUCAGCUGUCUCAUUGGUAACAAGGGUUUCUAAGGGCCUCUCGGUAGUGCUUUGAGAUUUAAAUGCAAUCACCCAGGUGCAGUGCCCCGCCCACGGCUGGGCACAUAGCAGCUCUCAGGAAUGGCGCGUGGGCAGAGGUGUUUGAUUCAGGGCAUGUUUCUGAAGGACAGCAGGCCAGCUGUUUUUGUUUGGGACAAUGUCAAUACAAAAAAAAAAAAAAAAAGAA